CAAGCCUUAAGGAAACAGACUGGCCCUGGAGCUGGUGGCAGGCUCGUGCCCUUGACCACCAGGGCCUACCUCUGAGUACUCACUGCCUCAGAGCCUCCGGUCGGUCUUAGGGGUUGGGAUAGGUGAAGAGGCAGCCACGGGAGGUCCUGUGUGAACGUGCAGGGGUGCCUGUGAAGGUGCCUACAGCUGCCUGAUCAGGGUGUUGGCCUUGGCCACGUCAGUGUCACAGAGCUUCUUCACAGCCUGCUUAAUGUGAUGCUUAUUGGCCUUGACCUCCACGAUGAACAGUGUGCUGUUGUCUGUCUUCUUCACGGCUGACCCUGUGGUGGGGGAAACUGGAUGAUGGCGGUGUGGUCAAGCUUGGUUCUCCUGGGCGCUCCUCCGAGAAUAUCUGGGCUGCCUCCUGAGCCACAGUGUUUUGGGCCAGUGGAAGGGGCAGCCCUGGCUGUGCACACGUGUGUGUGGCAGUGUGCAGGUGACCG
ensembl:lncRNA